GGGAAAGAGAGGGAUUCGAACCCUCGGUACGAUUAACCCGUACAAUGGAUUAGCAAUCCAACGCUUUAGUCCGCUCAGCCAUCUCUCC
rnacentral:tRNA from 1 species